GUGUAAAUGCGCGCGUGUGCGGUAAACAGGUUGAACGCGGAAGUCAGUUGAUCAAAAAGUAGGUCUUCGGUCAAAAAAGCUCGGCCGCCCUGAAAAUCGCGUCACAUGAAGCAGGAAAAAACGCCUGUCUGACGACAGGGAACGCGCUUCGAAUCUCUGUCACCGUUGUGGAAGUUCCUGCUGCGUGUUUACGUAAGAUUGGAAUGUUGAGCCUUUCCUGCAAACUGUUGCCGGGAACACUGUGUUCUGGAGAGGAAGAAAACAAGCGCCCUGACCUCACCAUGGGUCAGGCGUGUUUGUUUACAUCCACUGCGGAACCGCUCAUCAGGGUAGCGUUUGCGCAAAUAAUUCCCAGGAUAUGACCAGCGGAAAGUGUCCUUCUCAUUGCCAUUCCAGAAAGAAGGAGACGCGUGAGAAUCAAGUUUGCACACGAGCUGGGAUAGCACCUUAAUAAAACGAAGACGCUACGCGUUUCUGGCUUUUUCCUGCUCGGCUGGUUGGUUGAACAUUCCGGCGGGCGGAAGAGAAUGUUGAGAGAUGACAUGACACAAAGUUAAUCAUGGGCAAAGAAUAUGUUCAUCUUCGUUUUGAUCUGAUGCACAUCAAUUAUCUUAAAGAGAAGAAAGGCAUAAUAGAGCAAUCGUUCCUGUUCGCUGCGCCUUCAGUAAUUUAGGGGUGGGAAAUAACAGAUAACAUAUGAUUUUAGUCACUACGUUUGAGAUAGGCAGCAGGGUGCACAAAUCUGGGGUUAUCAGUCUGAAAUUUGCAAGGAAGAAUUUGAGAAGUUUGUCUAUUCUUCCAGUAAGAAGAAUAUGCAAAGUCUGUUGGGGGUUUUUUUGUUGUUGUUUGUUUUUUCCGGGAUAGUGCCGCUUCUUCCCAUAUUCCAAAAAAUAUGAAUGUUAGGUGAACAGAAGCCUCUUGGUGUUGAUACGAGUGUAAAUGCUUGUUUAUUUAUAUGUGCACUGACAUUGACUGUUGGGCUACUCAUUCGCAUUCCUGCUUGUUUUCCAUCUCGGCCCCGCUGGAACAUCCUCGAUUCAAAUGAUCAGAUCAUCAGUAAGAUCUGCAGAAGCUGGAUAAUGUGUUGCUGCGGGGGCGUGGGGAUGGUAACAGGCUGGGCGGUGCCGUUUGAGGAACUGGACUGAAGACCCGUGUAAUGCACAAAACUCUGGUUGCGGUGGUUUUACUUUGCUGAAGUUUGUUAGUUUCAUUCUUACGUGGCUUCCUUGUGAGCAUCCGACUGCACUUGCGCAAGAACAAACAGCAACUUCAAUAAUAAUUCGGAUGAAUCUAAACGGACGGACAACUCCUUCAAUGACCACACCCGUUGAUGUUCCUUGGAAGUUAUUCACCAGUGAGUCAAGAAGGUGUAAAACGUUUGCACCGACCGGCUUCCCGAGGUCCACCUCAGCCUUCGUGGGCGCCACCUGGCAAACGCGGUCGCCAACGUCCGGAUGCAGAAAAAGGGAAGCGGCGAUAACAA